ensembl:snRNA U6 U6 spliceosomal RNA
GUGCUCACUUCGGCAGUAUAACAAUUAAAAUUGGAAUGACACAGAGAAGAUUAGCAUGGCCCCCUGCACAAGACUGACAUGCAAAUAUGUGAAGUGUUCCAUAUUUUA